rnacentral:rRNA from 1 species
UACGGGGGGGGCAAGCGUUGUUCGGAAUUACUGGGCGUAAAGGGCUCGUAGGCGGCCAACUAAGUCAGACGUGAAAUCCCUCGGCUUAACCGGGGAACUGCGUCUGAUACUGGAUGGCUUGAGUUUGGGAGAGGGAUGCGGAAUUCCAGGUGUAGCGGUGAAAUGCGCAGAUAUCAGGAAGAACACCCGUGGCGAAAGCGGGUCUCUGGGCCGUAACUGACGCUGAGGAGCGAAAGCGUGGGGAGCAAACAGG